rnacentral:lncRNA from 1 species
UUUUCGGGUGUUCAACUUAGCGGGCUUUCUUUUCUUUUUAUUUUUUCUUUUUUGGCUUGGAAAGGCUUGUGACUUCCAUUUUAUUGGUUAUUGAAGAACAACCUAUAUAAUUUCAGGUUUUUUCCUGAUUCCUUCGACAUGCAAAAAAUAACAUGUGGUUGAUCCCCAUAUGGGAUGUUAUUCUCUUGCAAUUCGAAUGCGUAGUUAGGUUAACU